rnacentral:rRNA from 1 species
UACGUAGGGGGCAAGCGUUGUCCGGAUUCAUUGGGCGUAAAGAGCGUGUAGGCGGCCAGGUAGGUCGGUUGUGAAAACUGGAGGCUCAACCUUCAGAGGUCGACCGAAACCAUCUGGCUAGAGUAAGGUAGGGGUAGAGGGAAUUCCUGGUGUAGCGGUGAAAUGCGUAGAGAUCAGGAAGAACACCGGUGGCGAAAGCGCUCUGCUGGACCUUAACUGACACUGAGGGACGAAAGCUAGGGGAGCGAAUGGG